rnacentral:rRNA from 1 species
UUUAAUUCGAAGCAACGCGAAGAACCUUACCUAAGCUUGACAUCCCAAUGACAUCUCCUUAAUCGGAGAGUUCCCUUCGGGGACAUUGGUGACAGGUGGUGCAUGGUUGUCGUCAGCUCGUGUCGUGAGAUGUUGGGUUAAGUCCCGCAACGAGCGCAACCCUUGUCUUUAGUUGCCAUCAUUAAGUUGGGCACUCUAGAGAGACUGCCAGGGAUAA